rnacentral:rRNA from 1 species
UCAGGGGGUAUGCCUGCCCAGUGACACCGUUAAACGGCCGCGGUAUCCUAACCGUGCAAAGGUAGCGUAAUCACUUGUCUUUUAAAUAAAGACUAGAAUGAAUGGCCAAACGAGGUUCUACCUGUCUCUUACAGAUAAUCAGUGAAAUUGAUCUUCCUGUGCAAAAGCAGGAAUAACAUUAUAAGACGAGAAGACCCUGUGGAACUUCAAAUACAAGUCAACUACCACCAACACCCACCUACGGGUCCACCAUCAAUUAACAUCUGACUUAUAUUUUCGGUUGGGGCGACCUCGGAGUAAAAUAAAACCUCCGAAAAAGAAUUCUCUUUCAAACCUAGACCUACAACUCAUAGUGCUUCCGGCAAAACGAUCCAAUAUACUUGAUCAACGAACCAAGCUACCCCAGGGAUAACAGCGCAAUCCCAUCCUAGAGUUCCUAUCGACGAUGGAGUUUACGACCUCGAUGUUGGAUCAGGACAUCCUGAUGGUGCAGUUGCUAUCAAGGGUUCGUUUGUUCAACGAUUAAUAGUCCUACGUGAUCUGAGUCAAAACCGGAGAAGA